AUCGCUUCUCGGCCUUUUGGCUAAGAUCAAGUGUAGUAGAAAUCAGAGGUUCCCACCAACUCUUCCUCAGGUUCAAUUAAUUUGCUAGAGCAGCUCACAGAACUUAGAGAAACAUUUUCCUUACCAGAUCAGUGGUUGGUUAUAAGAGGAUGUAACUC
rnacentral:snRNA from 1 species